rnacentral:lncRNA from 1 species
AGAAUUUGAUCUUACACAAGCCAUAUCACAUUUCUGGUUGAAACAAGAAUGUCCAAGCACAUCAUUACCAUAGAUAGCAUCAAUUGUAUCCAACCCGUUGUUAUUAGGGAACAAUCCUUGCACAAACAGAACCCAAAUCUAAUAACAACAAGUUUAGCCUACCAUGAUGGAGGAAAUCAUAAAGGAAAAAGAAGAGAAGAACACCAUGCUUGCACAAAUGGAUCUUCAACCUUCAGUCUUCACUUGGGAAUCGUUCCCCUAGCCUUCCUUAAUCCAAAUACCUUCAAUUACGAGGUUUGGAGAUGAGAAAAAAUCGUAUUUGGAGGUGGAAGAAUGGAACUCCCCUUUCUCUCCUCAAAAGUUGGCUUAAAUUGUAUUUGAAGGCAGACGACACACAUUAAUUGUUGUGUUGGCCAAUUAGAAUGCAUGAUGGUUUUAUUGUGGUAUUAUUUUUCUUUGUUGAGCGUGUAUUAGUA